rfam:Saccharophagus degradans 2-40, complete genome.
CAACGAUAAAGGCAAACCCGCGGUAACGUGGGGACGCAAAGCCAGUGCCCAACUACUUGUAAUUUAAGAUUGGGUCGAACGGUUACCGAA